GAUGAAGAACGUAGCGAAAUGCGAUAAGUAAUGUGAAUUGCAGAAUUCAGUGAAUCAUCGAAUCUUUGAACGCACAUUGCGCCCGCCAGUAUUCUGGCGGGCAUGCCUGUUCGGGCGUCAUUUCAACCAUCAAGCCCCAGGCUUGUGUUGGGGACCUGCGGCUGCCGCAGGCCCUGAAAACCAGUGGCGGGCUCGCUGUCACACCGGGCGUAGUAGAUUUUAUCUCGCUCUGGGCGUGCUGCGGGUUCCGGCCGUUAAAAAACCCUUUUAACCCAAGGUUGACCUCGGAUCAGGUAGGAAUACCCGCUGAACUUAAGCAUAUCAAUAAGCGGAGGA
rnacentral:misc_RNA from 1 species